rnacentral:snoRNA from 1 species
GCUUUCGGGAGGGAGCGUGGCCUGCGUCUGGCGUGGUGUGUGUGUGUGGACUUGCUGUGUCGCGUGCGAGGCGCUUGUGAGUCUUGUGUGAGUUGACGCGCGAGUGUGUGAACGUGCGCGCGUGGAGCGUGUUCGGUGAGUGUGUGCGCCCGCCCCUGAACCCUUCCCUCCGCCUACACCUUGAUCUUAUUUGAUCGGGUCGUGACCCCAGCCCCGCCGGGCCGACCCGAAAUGAAAAGCUCUCCUCCUGCGAAGCCCGUUUUCGGGGCGCUGUGCAGCGAGGCCCCUAGGCGGCGGCAACGCUGCGGUCCCCGGGGUCCCGGAGUUGGCUCUGCGGGGCCCGGCGCUCAGAAGUGAUGAAUUGAUCAGAUAGACGAGGCCGGGCUUGUCCCGGGCCACUGAUUAUCGAGGCGAUUCUGAUCUGG